rnacentral:rRNA from 1 species
UACGUAGGGUGCGAGCGUUGUCCGGAAUUACUGGGCGUAAAGAGCUCGUAGGCGGUUUGUCACGUCUGCUGUGAAAUCCCGAGGCUCAACCUCGGGCCUGCAGUGGGUACGGGCAGACUGGAGUGCGGUAGGGGAGAAUGGAAUUCCUGGUGUAGCGGUGGAAUGCGCAGAUACCAGGAGGAACACCGAUGGCGAAGGCAGUUCUCUGGGCCGUAACUGACGCUGAGGAGCGAAAGCGUGGGGAGCGAACAGG